GAACCGGCAGCCAUAUGGGAUCCUGCACAUGCAAGGACCUGGACUGUACCUCUCCAUUCUCUCUCAGCCUCCAGGAUUCCUGAGGAGUAUCCACUAUAAGCUCUAACUGAUGACUCACUGAAGAGAAAAUGCCAUCCUGGAAAUGCAGUGCUUCAGGCAGACAGCCUCGGGGCACCCCUACAAGGUGGGGAGGCUCCUGUGACUUCCGAUGCCCUCCCUGUGGGACAGAAAUGCAGC